CUCCCAGAGUUGGGUUUCAGCAAGACAGAACCACUUCCAACCCGGGGAGCCCCCAGUUUUUCAUCCUCAUAUUCGCCAAUCGUUGCCUACAGCGUGGCCAACGCUGCUGCCUUCGUGGGCAAGAAGACUUGCGUGUGCUCAUAGCGAAACCUGCAGCUCGAGUCCUGGUGGUCACUGCUGCUGUCGAAGUGCCAUUCCCUUGUCCCACUGAGUGCGAGACGCAGCUAAGCAGCACUGCAGCAGCUAAUGCCUGAGGGAACCACGUUUCUGCUGCCCUGACUAUUGUAAACAGAUAUUUUAUACUGCCUUUAAAU